rnacentral:misc_RNA from 1 species
AGGAUUAUAUGUCUUCUAGUCCUGCAAAUAAAAGAAAUAAUUUUUAUUUAUAACAAUUAAUGAAAGAUAAAAUUUUAAAAAAUUUCAAAAAGUUCUUUAAAAACUGCAUAUUCUCUAAAAAAAAUAAAUAAUAAAGCUAUUUAAAAAGAGAUUUUAGUAAAUAUUCAAAAGUUUGGUGGUGCUAAUGCUAUUGUUGUUUUUGACAAAGAGUAGACUGGAGAGUUGGAGCAAGCUGGAGCAGAGUAGACUGCAGAGU